AGUGAACGCUGGCGGUAGGCCUAACACAUGCAAGUCGAACGGCAGCACAGUAAGAGCUUGCUCUUACGGGUGGCGAGUGGCGGACGGGUGAGGAAUACAUCGGAAUCUACUUUUUCGUGGGGGAUAACGUAGGGAAACUUACGCUAAUACCGCAUACGACCUACGGGUGAAAGCAGGGGAUCUUCGGACCUUGCGCGAUUGAAUGAGCCGAUGUCGGAUUAGCUAGUUGGCGGGGUAAAGGCCCACCAAGGCGACGAUCCGUAGCUGGUCUGAGAGGAUGAUCAGCCACACUGGAACUGAGACACGGUCCAGACUCCUACGGGAGGCAGCAGUGGGGAAUAUUGGACAAUGGGCGCAAGCCUGAUCCAGCCAUACCGCGUGGGUGAAGAAGGCCUUCGGGUUGUAAAGCCCUUUUGUUGGGAAAGAAAAGAAGCAGGUUAAUACCCCGCUGUUCUGACGGUACCCAAAGAAUAAGCACCGGCUAACUUCG
rnacentral:rRNA from 1 species